rnacentral:misc_RNA from 1 species
UUCGUUCAUCGCCUUUAUCACGCCGAGAUAUUUGUAAACACUGGCUCGGGACUCGGGAGUCGGGAGGACUCAGCAGUCAGCGCUGGCCGCGGUGACACGGAUGGAAAGAAGAACACGAAGAAGAGAUACAACACUUUCCAACCAGUAACAAGGAGACCGAGACGAAGAGUUGUGUUAAAUGCAUUGAUAGUUGGUUGUGGCAGCAGCAGCAGCAGUGCUACAGUCAUGUGAUGGCCACAGAACAGAAAUAUGUCAGCUCUUCCUCAAGCAAAAACAGCAGCAGCAGCAGCAUAGACCCCAGAGAGCAGUGGCUGAGGCAGCAGCUGCCACGACAUCUUCCCAAGAGACUCAACGACUUGUAUCUUGAUCAAAACUCUAAUUUUAAGAGCCAGCAGCAGCGUGCGUUGAGUCUGCUAGGGGAGAGUGGGUGGGUGGUGGUGCAUGGGCUGGGCCAGGCAAUACCUCAUGCAAUCAACUUGUCACUCUCUCUGCAAGCUGCUGCCAACUGCCCUGCAUCCCUUCAUACCAACACCUCAUCAAUAUUCCUACCUGAUGACUACCACUCCCCACUGACCAGCACUGCCCAAGAGUGUUACUCCAGGGAGGUGCCAGCCGUCCACAUCAAGGUUACCGUUCAGAACAAGCCCAGCAAAGAAGGCACUUAUGCGAAGGGUCGGAGUGAUAAAGCUGGAUCACAACAAAUCCAGGACGCCAAACCUAAGUGAGGGAAAGUGACAGGAGGUCGACAUCAUGUUCUUCAGCCUGCGGGAACUGACGGCCUGGCUUGGGGUCACUGUCCUGGAGGUGUUCAUCUGGCUAACGGCUCUGCUGGUGACUUUGGUGUUGGUGGUGCUGCGGGUGGAAGAAGUGAUGCCAUCAGUCAGUUGGUGGCUGGUGAUCAGUCCGAUGUUCAUCGCCGACGCUCUCAACACAUACUUCUGCGUCAU